UUGGAAGGGACCGUCGUGAUCGGGGCGUA
rnacentral:sRNA from 1 species